rnacentral:misc_RNA from 1 species
GAUGCUGGCGUUGGUUGGUUUAAAUAUUUGGCACCACCCUAUUGUUCUCACAUAGCUUCUCAUGCUAUUCAGAAACUACUCCUUUAAAUAUUCCCUUUUCUUUUCCUUCAUGUUACCUCUCAACCCCACUCACUCAAAUCACCCACUUCUGGUGUCAUAUUGACAAUGACAUCUAUACUUUCUUGAACAAAUGAUCUGAUUUUCUGAGCAUGUG